rnacentral:rRNA from 1 species
CAGUCGCCGCGGUAAUACAGAGGGUGCGAGCGUUAAUCGGAUUUACUGGGCGUAAAGCGUGCGUAGGCGGCUUCUUAAGUCGGAUGUGAAAUCCCUGAGCUUAACUUAGGAAUUGCAUUCGAUACUGGGAAGCUAGAGUAUGGGAGAGGAUGGUAGAAUUCCAGGUGUAGCGGUGAAAUGCGUAGAGAUCUGGAGGAAUACCGAUGGCGAAGGCAGCCAUCUGGCCUAAUACUGACGCUGAGGUACGAAAGCAUGUGGAGCAAACAGGAUUAGAUACCCCAGUAGUCCCUGUCUCUUAUAC